UAGUGCACUAGUGUUUCUUUCCUCUGUGGUGUAACGUACAUUUGCAUUUUGCAACAGAAACAGCUUCUUAUAGAGUAUUGUUUUACAGGCUAAUAUUUUUUAUGUAAUGUACGGUAUUCAAAUGUAAUUAUAAAUAGGAUUGGGAUAAUACAAAAAUAUACUUUUUGCUUAGUGAUAUCUAUUACAUUGUGACAGAAUUUGGUUUCUCAAUAAUUCUCAUCCUGAGUGCCAAACUGAUCAAUUGCAUCCUAAUGGAACGUUCAAGAUGUGAUUCAGUAACUGAUACGGUAGUUGCAAUAAUUAUUUUUGACCAAAUUGAAUCCACAAAAUAAUUGAAGAAAUGGUUUCAGAUGAUUACGAACAAGCGCCAGCUAUAUUUGGAGAGGUAAUGCACCUACUGAUAUCCCGUGAUAAGAACUUGGGAGAGAUUUAGUGAAACCCUGGAGAACGGCCACUUAGCUCACAAAUCUGAGCUGUUCACAUCAAGCUGAUAUUUGUGACAGCCAUUAUAGCUUUAAUCAUGAAAUUGAAAAAGGGAGAUGUCAUGAUAAUAUAUAUAUCGAUACUGUGAUAUCGAUAUAUUGAUGUAACUAUCGAGUGUGUUUUGUAUCGAGUCUCGAAGGAUGAACUUGUACUUCGUGUGCUUGUGAGUUAUGCUCAGUGCUUACUGAAAUAAAUAUAUCUUGGUGAAUUAAA